rnacentral:rRNA from 1 species
UACGGGGGGGGCAAGCGUUGUUCGGAAUUACUGGGCGUAAAGGGCGCGUAGGCGGCCUGUUAAGUCACACGUGAAAUCCCUCGGCUCAACCGGGGAACUGCGUGUGAUACUGGCGGGCUUGAAUUCGGGAGAGGGAUGUGGAAUUCCAGGUGUAGCGGUGAAAUGCGUAGAUAUCAGGAGGAACACCGGUGGCGAAGGCGGCUUCCUGGACUGUCCCUGACGCUGAGGCGCGAAAGCGUGGGUAGCAAACAGG